UGCAGUCGAGCGGUAGAGAGAAGCUUGCUUCUCUUGAGAGCGGCGGACGGGUGAGUAAUGCCUAGGAAUCUGCCUGGUAGUGGGGGAUAACGUUCGGAAACGGACGCUAAUACCGCAUACGUCCUACGGGAGAAAGCAGGGGACCUUCGGGCCUUGCGCUAUCAGAUGAGCCUAGGUCGGAUUAGCUAGUUGGUGGGGUAAUGGCUCACCAAGGCGACGAUCCGUAACUGGUCUGAGAGGAUGAUCAGUCACACUGGAACUGAGACACGGUCCAGACUCCUACGGGAGGCAGCAGUGGGGAAUAUUGGACAAUGGGCGAAAGCCUGAUCCAGCCAUGCCGCGUGUGUGAAGAAGGUCUUCGGAUUGUAAAGCACUUUAAGUUGGGAGGAAGGGUUGUAGAUUAAUACUCUGCAAUUUUGACGUUACCGACAGAAUAAGCACCGGCUAACUCUGUGCCAGCAGCCGCGGUAAUACAGAGGGUGCAAGCGUUAAUCGGAAUUACUGGGCGUAAAGCGCGCGUAGGUGGUUUGUUAAGUUGGAUGUGAAAUCCCCGGGCUCAACCUGGGAACUGCAUUCAAAACUGACUGACUAGAGUAUGGUAGAGGGUGGUGGAAUUUCCUGUGUAGCGGUGAAAUGCGUAUAUAUAGGAAGGAACACCAGUGGCGAAGGCGACCACCUGGACUAAUACUGACACUGAGGUGCGAAAGCGUGGGGGAGCAAACAGGAUUAGAUACCCUGGGAGUCCACGCCGUAAACGAUGUCAACUAGCCGUUGGAAGCCUUGAGCUUUUAGUGG
rnacentral:rRNA from 1 species